CUUAACUCACAAUGUGCAGUUUAGGAUUCUCAAAUUUUACAAACGGAAAAAAGUGUGUCUAAUUUUACAUUACAUUAGUACAAACAAUAAUAGUGGCUACAGUUUCUGAAUGCAACCAGUGAGUCUUAAAGACUGCAACCAGAGUACGGUGAAUUUUUUUAUUCUUCAAGUGGCGAUUGUUGUUCAUUCAAGGAACAUUAUGUUUAACAUUGAAGGAAUUCUAUCAAUAAUUUUUUGUGAUAUUUGAGAAUUUCGGUUACAUGAAUGUAUUUUUUGUUGUAACAAACAUACGCAAGAACUUUAAAAAAAUUUACCAAAGGAAAAACGAAAAGCUCUCAACAAAAUCAGUGCGGCCAGGCGUUUAUGUAAAAAAAAUCGACUCGGCAUGAGCACAAUAUACGUAUGCGUUUUUUAACAGUGCAUGGUCAACACGAAGUUAGCACAUGCUUUGAUAAAUUGGCAUAUAUUUACAUUUCUAAGACCCUUUGAAGCAUAUCCAUUGGGGAAAUUAUAUUGUUUAGAAAUUAAA